rnacentral:rRNA from 1 species
AGGAUAAACGCUGGCGGCGUGCCUAACACAUGCAAGUCGAACGUCCUUGCGGUCUUCUUCUUCGGAGGAGGACCGCGAGGGAGUGGCGGACGGGUGAGUAACACAUGGGUACCUGCCUUUCAGUGAGGAAUACCGGCGAGAAAUCGCCGACAAGACCGCAUAGGCUUCCUUCGGUAGCCCGAGGGAAGCAAAGUUACUUCGCGAGAGGUGACGCUGGAAGAGGGGCCUGUGGCCGAUUAGCUAGUUGGGGGGGUAACGGCCUCCCAAGGCGACGAUCGGUAGCUGGUCUGAGAGGACGAUCAGCCACACUGGGAUUGAGAACGGCCCAGACUCCUACGGGGGGCAGCAGUGAGGAAUUUUCCGCAAUGGACGAAAGUCUGACGGAGCAACGCCGCGUGCAGGAGGAAGGUUUUCGGAUCGUAAACUGCUUUUCUCGGGGACGAGCAAGGACGGUACCCGAGGAAGAAGCCCCGGCUAACUACGUGCCAGCAGCCGC